rnacentral:sRNA from 10 species
CCCAGAGGUAUUGAUAGGUGAAAUCAACUUUCGGGUUGAUCACUAGAAUUACACCAGCCUGCGCAGAUGCGCAGGUUUUUUUU